GUGAGGAAUUUUCCGCAAUGGGCGAAAGCCUGACGGAGCAAUGCCGCGUGAAGGAUGAAGGCCUAUGGGUUGUAAACUUCUUUUCUUAGAGAAGAAUAUUGACGGUAUCUGAGGAAUAAGCAUCGGCUAAAUCUGUGCCAGCAGCCGCGGUAAGACAGAGGAUGCAAGUGUUAUCCGGAAUGAGUGGGCGUAAAGGGUCUGUAGGUGGCUUCAAAAGUCUCCUGUCAAAGAUCAGGGCUUAACCCUGGGCCGGCAGGAGAAACUCUGAGGCUAGAGUUUGGUAGGGGCAGAGGGAAUUGCCGGUGGAGCGGUGAAAUGCGUAGAGAUCGGGAGGAACACCAAAGGCGAAAGCACUCUGCUGGGCCACAACUGACACUGAGAGACGAAAGCGAGGGGAGCAAAAGGGAUUAGAUACCCCUGUAGUCC
rnacentral:rRNA from 1 species